GACGAACGCUGGCGGCGUGCCUAACACAUGCAAGUCGAACGGAACUGUUUUGAAAGAUUUCUUCGGAAUGAAUUUGAUUUAGUUUAGUGGCGGACGGGUGAGUAACGCGUGAGUAACCUGCCUUCAAGAGGGGAAUAACAUUCUGAAAAGAAUGCUAAUACCGCAUGACAUAUCGGAACCACAUGGUUUUGAUAUCAAAGAUUUUAUCGCUUGAAGAUGGACUCGCGUCCGAUUAGUUAGUUGGUGAGGUAACGGCUCACCAAGACCGCGAUCGGUAGCCGGACGGAGAGGUUGAACGGCCACAUUGGGACUGAGACACGGCCCAGACUCCUACGGGAGGCAGCAGUGGGGGAUAUUGCGCAAGGGGGGCAACCCUGACGCAGCAACGCCGCGUGAAGGAUGAAGGUUUUCGGAUUGUAAAAUUCUUUUAUUAAGGACGAAAAAUGACGGUACUUAAUGAAUAAGCUCCGGCUAACUACGUG
rnacentral:rRNA from 1 species